rnacentral:rRNA from 1 species
AACUUUUAACAAUGGAUCUCUAGGCUCUCACAUCGAUGAAGAACACAGUGAAAUGUGAUAAGUAAUGUGAAUUGCGGAAUUCAGUGAAUCAUUGAAUCUUUGAACGCACCUUGCACCUUUUGGUAUUCCAAGAGGUACACCUGUUUGAGUGUCAU